rnacentral:rRNA from 1 species
UACGAAGGGGGCUAGCGUUGCUCGGAAUUACUGGGCGUAAAGGGCGCGUAGGCGGGUGUUUAAGUCAGAGGUCAAAUCCCAGAGCUCAACUCUGGAACUGCCUUUGAUACUGGACACCUAGAGUACGGGAGAGGUGUGUGGAACUCCGAGUGUAGAGGUGAAAUUCGUAGAUAUUCGGAAGAACACCAGUGGCGAAGGCGACACACUGGCCCGUUACUGACGCUGAGGCGCGAAAGCGUGGGGAGCAAACAGG